rnacentral:sRNA from 2 species
CCAUGCCGGGAUCGCCCUCCGUCAGCGCGUCUGCGCCCACGGGGGCAAAACUG